UAUUCGGGUGCAGAGACGCAGAGUGAGGGACAGCAUGAUUCGUGUUAACCCGAGGGCGGCUGCCCUCAGAGCCAUGUCGCAGAGGCUACAUAGAAGGUCAUACCGUGUUCCUGGACCAAACUCGUUAUGGCACCUUGAUGGAAACCACAAACUGAUAAGGUGGAGGAUAGUCAUACAUGGUGGCAUUGAUGGGUUGCAGCCGCCGUGUUUCUCCGUGCUUCCAGCAACAAUCGCAGCAGUACUGUAUUGGAUUGCUUCAUGAAUGCUGUCUCCAGAUAUGGCGUUCCCUCCAGAGUUAGAACGGACCAUGGAGGAGAAAACAACACUGUCUGCUUGUUGAAUACUACUUCUACAAACGAGGCUACACUUGUGGCAGCACCUAUUCCUUUGGCACCCCAUCUUCUGCACUUCUUGUCGCCCCCCUCCACCUAUACCACUUUCUGUGGCCCCUCCACCAUUCCCCGAGGCUUAUCGUCCACCUUCACCACACUUUUCUGUUGGUGUUGGUGAUGACAAUGAGUAAGUCAUCCCUGUAAAUAAUGAAAUGUCUUGUUAUUACAGAUGAAUUGUGGGAAGUAUCUGAGCUUUGUUAUUCUGAAUGUCUCUUUUAGUGUUGACCUCCAAACACUGCUGAAGUUAAUGAGAUGCCAACCAAAUGAAUGUGAUGAUGGACAAUGUUUAUGAUUGCGCAAUGAGAGGCUUUAAGAGAGCCCACUUUAAUCCGGAAGCAAAGGUAUACAUGGUUUUUAGGGAUGCUGACGGAAAAGGGGCAGCUGAUGAGGGUGGUCCCUCAAGAGAAUUUCUCUGGCUGCUAAUGAGUGCCAUCCAUUCCUCUGCAAUAUUUGAGGGACCUGAUUGACAAAAAUGCCUUUCUUGAAACUCUCAAGCAACAUGGGGGUGUAGAGACACAUUUUUUCAGAGAGGCUAUACAGGCAAGUGUGUGGCCUACAACCUCCUGUGCCAGAACUGAAAUAAUUUGCAGAAUAUGACUUCAGACAGAAGUUGGAGAAGUUCAAUAAACAAUCUAAGAUCCAGUUAGCACAAACUGUUGACGAGGCACAGGAAGUGGUCAUGUUGGGUCCAGUGCGAUACAUUCGUACAUUGGAGAGGGAUGCCCUGGUGGAGUCAGCCACAAAGUUCUACUUAGAAAGCAGGAUACGGGAUGCUCUUGAGCAAUUCAAAGAGGGUCUGGAGUGUCUAGGUCUCCUGUCUUACAUGAAUAGACACUCAAGCCUCUUCAGAGAGGUUUUCAUCUAUGCUGAGAAACCUCUUUUGGCCAAAGACAUAGCUUCUCUCUUCCACGCAGAGCGCUCCCCACCUGGUACCAAUCAAAGUUUUCAAAAACAUUACAAACAACCAGAAUCAAUUGGACACAGUAAUACAUGAUGCAGCUUUAAUAUUUAAAUAAAUGUAUGAUUUCUUAGUGGGUAAUAAAGGUAAAUAAAGAGCAAUA
ensembl:lncRNA